AUGGAGAAGGUUUUGCUGCGAAUGGGGUUUAGACCCAACUGGGUUGCACUGAUUAUGAAGUGUGUCAAAUCUGUUAGAGGACUCAGAAAGGGGGACCCGAUCUCACCAUAUUUAUUCUUGCUCUCUGCUGAGGGUCUCUCUAGUCUGAUUGUGCAUGAAGAGGAGACUGGUAAUUUGAUUAGAGUUCGGGUGUGCCGAGACGCCCCCUCAUUUACACACCUACUGUUCGCCGAUGACUCCCUGAUCCUUAUGAGGGCGGAUGCUGCUAAUGCGAAUAGUCUUAGGAGAGCAUUAGAUGACUAUUGUGUUGCCUCCGGGUAG
rnacentral:rRNA from 1 species